rnacentral:tRNA from 1 species
GAGGGUACAGCUAAAGCGGUAAAGUGCAUACUUAGCACGCACGAGGCCCUGGGUUCAAUCCCCAGUACCUCCG